AGUACUAUUCUUUCUGUUUUCCCAAGUGUCAGAACCACUGAUUGGAUUUCAACAGUUUUAUAGAAAUAAAAAGUGUCAGAACCAUGA